GAACCUGCCCAGCCUGGGCCUCAGGAAGCAGCAUCAAGGGUGCCUCAGCCAUGGCCUGGAUCCCUCUCCUCCUUGGCCUCCUUGCUCACUGCACAGGUUCCAUGGCCUCCUAUGAGCUGACUCAGCCACCCUCAGUGUCAGUGUCCCCAGGACAGCCAGCCAGCAUCACCUGCUCUGGAGAUAAAUUGGAGGAUAAAUAUGCUCACUGAUAUCAGCAGAAGCCAGGCCAGUCCCCUGUGCUGGUCAUCUAUGAAGACAGCAAGUGGCCCUCAGGGAUCCCUGAGCAAGUCUCUGGCUCCAACUCUGGGAACACGGCCACUCUGACCAUCAGCAGGACCCAGGUUCCGGAUGAGGCUAACACUGUCAGGCGUGGGACAGCAACACUGUACACAGUGACACAGACAGAUGCGGAGUGAGACAGAAACCUGCCCCCUCGACCUGGCUCACAAGGCCCUGCCCUCUCUCCUGCCCCAUCACACUGAGCAGGAGGGCGCCUUCCAUGUGGAAUGGAAGUUUCCAGUCCUGUCCCUGCCCUUAUGUUCCCGAGAGAUGGGAGCAAUUUCCUGCCCACCUCUAGGCUCAGCUUAUCCCAGAAUAAACUGAGCUGGUCGCUUUGAUGAUCAAA